rnacentral:ncRNA from 1 species
AUAAGUUUAAUUCUUGCUUAAAUAUUGGUUAGUUAGAUUUUUUUAUAUGUGAAAUGUUAUAAAGUGUUGAAUUAAAACAGUAACUAAUUUUAUUAAUUAUAAUUGCCUUUUAUUUAGAAAUCUAAUAAAAAUAGAUUAAUAUUGUGCCAGCAUUCGCGGUUAAACAAUUUAUUUGAAUUAAUAAUUUUGGUUAUGUAUAUAUUUUUAUUUAUGAAAUUACAAUUUUAUUAUUUAGGUGGAAUUUAUAAUAAAUUAUAUUUUCUUUUAUUACAUUAUAUGUAAUCUUUCUUAUAAACUAGGAUUAGAUACCCUAUUAUUUUAGAUUUAAAUUUUUGUAUCCUGAAUACUAAUAGUUAUGUUCUAUAAAACUCAAAGAAGUUUGGCGGUAAGUUAUCUUUUCAGAGGAACCUGUAUUUUAAUUGAUAAACCACGAUAGUUUUUACCUUGAUUUUUACUUGUAUACCUCUAUACUAGAGAAUAUUCUAAAAGGAUAAUUUUCUUUUUCUUUAAGUAAGUUUUAUAUUAGGUCAAGGUGCAGUUUUUUUAAGGUUAAUAUGGGUUACUUUAUUUUUAAUUAUAUUAGAAAUUAUAAUUUGGUUAGUUGUUUUUGAAAAAGGAUUUGAUAGUAAUUUUAAUUUAUUUAUUAAAUUGAAUAUAAAGCUCUAAUUUAUGUACAUAUCGCCCGUCACUCCUGAUUUAAUUCAGGAUAAGUCGUAACAUAGUAGUUGUACUGGAAAGUGUAGCUAGAUAGUAGUAAUAUCUA